rnacentral:rRNA from 1 species
UGGGGAAUUUUGGACAAUGGGCGAAAGCCUGAUCCAGCAAUGCCGCGUGUGUGAAGAAGGCCUUCGGGUUGUAAAGCACUUUUGUCCGGAAAGAAAUCCUUGGCUCUAAUACAGUCGGGGGAUGACGGUACCGGAAGAAUAAGCACCGGCUAACUACGUGCCAGCAGCCGCGGUAAUACGUAGGGUGCAAGCGUUAAUCGGAAUUACUGGGCGUAAAGCGUGCGCAGGCGGUUUGCUAAGACCGAUGUGAAAUCCCCGGGCUCAACCUGGGAACUGCAUUGGUGACUGGCAGGCUAGAGUAUGGCAGAGGGGGGUAGAAUUCCACGUGUAGCAGUGAAAUGCGUAGAGAUGUGGAGGAAUACCGAUGGCGAAGGCAGCCCCCUGGGCCAAUACUGACGCUCAUGCACGAAAGCGUGGGGAGCAAACAGGAUUAGAUACCCCUGGUAGUCCACGCCCUAAAACGAUGUCAACUAGUUGUUGGGGAUUCAUUUCCUUAGUAACGUAGCUAACGCGUGAAGUUGACCGCCUGGGGGGUACGGUCG